UACGGGGGGGGCAAGCGUUGUUCGGAAUUACUGGGCGUAAAGGGCUCGUAGGCGGCCAACUAAGUCAGACGUGAAAUCCCUCGGCUUAACCGGGGAACUGCGUCUGAUACUGGAUGGCUUGAGUUUGGGAGAGGGAUGCGGAAUUCCAGGUGUAGCGGUGAAAUGCGUAGAUAUCAGGAGGAACACCGGUGGCGAAGGCGGAUCUCUGGGCCUUACCUGACGCUGAGGAGCGAAAGCAUGGGGAGCAAACAGG
rnacentral:rRNA from 1 species